GCCUCUAUAGCUCAGUGGUAGAGCACUGGUCUCGUAAACCAGGGGUCGUGAGUUCAAUCCUCACUGCAGGCA
rnacentral:tRNA from 1 species